rnacentral:rRNA from 1 species
UACGUAGGGGGCAAGCGUUAUCCGGAUUUACUGGGUGUAAAGGGAGCGUAGGCGGCAGGGCAAGCCUGAUGUGAAAGCCCGGGGCUCAACCCCGGGACUGCAUUGGGAACUGCCCUGCUGGAGUGCCGGAGGGGCAGGCGGAAUUCCUGGUGUAGCGGUGAAAUGCGUAGAUAUCAGGAGGAACACCGGCGGCGAAGGCGGCCUGCUGGACCGUAACUGACGUUGAGGCUCGAAGGCGUGGGGAGCAAACAGG